GUCCAUCAGCAACUACAUGGAUUAUAUUGAAAAUUUUGAGAUGAUUGAGUCAGGUAAUUUCUUUUACAAAUUUAAAUGUAAUUAUUUUAUAAUAUCAUUUAUUUACAUAUGUUUAAUCUAACUUUUUAAUUUAUGUUUUUGUAGAAUUUGAUGAAAGUUUAAAAAUCUCAACUGAUUGUUUAUAAGCAGUAUUGGUGGCUUGGUGCAAUUUUGGAAUAUAAUUGUUCUGGGUAAUUAAUUUACUUUACCUUGUUAAUUCCCCUUAACAUUUUGCAUACUUAAUUUAAUUCUUUCAAUAGUUGAACUCUAAUAUGUUGCUAAUUUGCUAGUGUUUUUUUUUAUAGCAUUAUCCUUGCUGGAAUUUUUGGAUGCCCAUGCUGCUGUUGCUGGAAUUUUUGGAUGCUGGUGUUGCUGUGUUUUUUUCUUCAAACUAUGCUGGAUGUUUAUGAUAAUUUAUUGCUGAUUGCUAAUGUAUUCGCUUGUUAAUGUUAACUUUUCUAGUGCGAACAAACUUUUAAUUUGAAGUGUUCAAAUUUUAUCAUGCAUCUUGCAUAUUGAAAUUGAUUUAUUGCAUUGCAUGCAUAUUGAAAUUAAUUUAUUGCAUU
rnacentral:lncRNA from 1 species